UAAGACGAGGGUCUUGAAUUUUUUUUUUUAUUCUAGAUCACAAUAUAGUAGCUAAUCUAUUUUUUUUGUUCAUUCAUAUUUAGGACCUAAUAAGCUUAGUUAGCAAAUAGCCACCUCUUAGGUUUGAACGUUUGUAAGGGGGGUUUAUGUUCUUUUGUUUGUUUUGAACUUAUUUACAGGGGCGUCCAAAGGGUGUUACACCAAAAUACAUCCCAAAGCCCAAAGACACUUGUGCCUAGACUUUCUGAGCUCCUUCAAGUCUAGGUUAGUUUCUCGUUGCAUCUUCAUCUAUACAAUGCUCCAAAGAAGGAACAAGCACACCUAUCGUCAUCCAAAGCCUCCAAGUUCGUCGAUGGAAAGUAGAAGAAGAAGAAGUGGGACAAGGGAAAGCAAAAAGAAAAGGUGAGGAACAUGGUUCUAUUUGCUAAGUCGGCAUACCACAAGCUUCUUCCUGAACCUCUAAAGUUCAAGCUCACCACUCCUUCAAUCUUGUAAUACAGAUUAAGGCUAGUGGUAAAUUAUAUUAUAAUUUUUUUUAAAAAGUCUUAUCUAAGCAUUUAUUUAUGGGUUAAUGUUGUGUAGUUUUUUACUUGAAUUUGUUAUAGAACAAUGGGUCAUUAGUGAGGAAGAGGAUGAUGUGUUUGAUGGCAAGAGGUGCUAUUAGGAUGGUAUCUGCUAAGUUAGCCAACAAAUCUAUACAAGGCGAUGUAAAGACAAAAAGGAAGGAGAAGUAGAGCCUGAGGUUGAUCCUGAAAGAGAACAAUACAAGAAUAAUGUAAGAAGGUGUUCUAAACACAUAAUCGGGCAAGCUUCAAAAACGCACAAUGUUGUAUGCCCCUAUUUCAUGACGGUAUGAAAGAAUGGAGUUGUUGCAAAAAAAAAGGAUCAUGAUUUCACCUUAUUUCUGGAAAUUCCAAGAUGCAAGAUAGGAAAACACCAAACUGAAAAGCCACUGGCCUUGGAUAAUGCCCGAUGUUGUAAGGGAAAUUUCAAGAAUCCACCAGGUGACACAAUGGAGAAAAUGGAUAUUCUUGAUUUCUUUCAACUUAACGCUAGUCACAACAAAGACAAGUGUACUUUCAAUUAUUUCUUUUGUUGUAGUAGUAACAUCUUACUCUUUUUUGUACAACUAAAUACAACAUUAUACUUCCAAAGUUUUUCUUUUUAUAGAGUUAUAAUAGGAUGAAAAAAGCAGGUUGCUUUAGCUAUUUAAUCAUCCUUUGUAUAAUUUUACUAUGUAAUCCACAUCCAACCUAUACAAAGCAUGGGCACCUACACUAGUUUCCAUAACAUUAUAGGACACCAUUUAUGUAAAGUUUCUUUUAUAAACAAGGGCUGCUUUUCUAUA